rnacentral:rRNA from 1 species
GAUGAACGCUGGCGGCGUGCCUAAUACAUGCAAGUCGAGCGAACAGACGAGGAGCUUGCUCCUCUGACGUUAGCGGCGGACGGGUGAGUAAAACGUGGAUAACCUACUUAUAAGACUGGGAUAACUUCGGGAAACCGGAGCUAAUACCGGAUAAUAUAUUGAACCGCAUGGUUCAUUAGUGAAAGACGGUUUUGCUGUAACUUAUAGAUGGAUCCGCGCCGCAUUAGCUAGUUGGUAAGGUAACGGCUUACCAAGGCAACGAUGCGUAGCCGACCUGAGAGGGUGAUCGGCCACACUGGAACUGAGACACGGUCCAGACUCCUACGGGAGGCAGCAGUAGGGAAUCUUCCGCAAUGGGCGAAAGCUUGACGGAGCAACGCCGCGUGAGUGAUGAAGGUCUUCGGAUCGUAAAACUCUGUUAUUAGGGAAGAACAAAUGUGUAAGUAACUAUGCACGUCUUGACGGUACCUAAUCAGAAAGCCACGGCUAACUACGUG